rnacentral:rRNA from 1 species
UACGUAGGGGGCAAGCGUUGUCCGGAUUUAUUGGGCGUAAAGGGCUCGUAGGCGGCCAACUAAGUCAGACGUGAAAUCCCCAGGCUCAACCUGGGAACUGCGUCUGAUACUGGAUGGCUUGAAUCCGGGAGAGGGAUGCAGAAUUCCAGGUGUAGCGGUGAAAUGCGUAGAUAUCUGGAGGAAUACCGGUGGCGAAGGCGGCAUCCUGGACCGGCAUUGACGCUGAGGAGCGAAAGCUAGGGGAGCAAACGGG